rnacentral:rRNA from 1 species
AUUGAACGCUGGCGGCAGGCCUAACACAUGCAAGUCGAGCGAGCGGCGGUCGGGUGCGUAUUGUUUGGGAAACUGCCUGUUGGCGGUGGAGAACUACUGGAACUGGUAGCGAAUACCGCAUACCAUGGGACUUGCCUAGAUGGGAUUAGCUAGUAGGUGGGGUAAAGGAUAACCAGGGCCACGGUCCCUAGCUGGUCUGAGAGGAUGACCAGCCACACUGGAAUUGAGACACGGUCCAGACUCCUACGGGAGGCAGCAGUGGGGAAUAUUGCACAAUGGGCGCAAGCCGGAGGCAGCCAUGCCGCGUGUAGGAAGAAGGCCUUCGGGUUGUAAAGUACUUUCAGCGGGGAGGCGUUACCCGCAGAAGAAGCACCGGCUAACUCCGUGCCAGCAGCCGCGGUAAUAC